AAUAAGAUAAGCUAAUUUAAGCUAGUGGGUUCAUACCCCAACAAUGAAAUAUAUUUCUCUUAUUA
rnacentral:tRNA from 1 species